ensembl:lncRNA
UCAUCUCUUCUGUUUUAAUUUUUAUCCUCAGUUACUGUGAAUCUAAUGGAAAUGUCAUCAGACCAAACCAGCCGUCUGUAGUUUUAGCUGAAGGAAGCAGCACCACUCUGUCCUGUUCAUAUGAUGGAUCAGCUUACAGUCUUCACUGGUAUCGACAGAAGCCUGGAUCAAAACCAGAGUUUCUGCUGCUGAUUGUUGAGUCUUCCAAGUAUGUCACCAAAGCUGACCAACCUCAUCCACAUAUGUCCAUCAGACUCCAUGAUAAUAAAAGUGUGGAUCUGGAGAUCUCCUCUGCUGCUGUAUCAGACUCUGCAGUGUAUUACUGUGCUCUGGAGCCCAUAGUGACAGAAGAAACCCUCUACACUUUACAAAAACUUGUUUCUUGCAUAUUGUAUAACAAUCAUAUAUUUAGGCCUUCCCUCAUGCAGUGUCUUAUUUUUGUUCCUCCUUCCUGUCCUUACAAGGUGGUCUUUCCCUGAGAACUACUGUAGCCUACCAUUUUAGCAAAUGUUUUGCACCGUUUACUUAUUUAUUGGUCAUUUAAGGCCACUUUUACAAGACAAAACAAACUGUAAUUUACAAUAAAUCAAGUUACGUGAACCAGUACACCAUAGUAUGAAC